UACGGAGGGGGCAAGCGUUAUUCGGAUUUACUGGGCGUAAAGGGUGCGUAGGCGGCUGCGCAAGUCCGAUGUGAAGUCUUCACCGCUCAACGGGAAGAGGUCAUUGGAAACUGCGUAGCUCGAGUAUGGCAGAGGCGAGCGGAAUUCCUGGUGUAGCGGUGGAAUGUGUAGAUAUCAGGAAGAACACCUGUGGCGAAGGCGGCUCGUUGGGUCAUUACUGACGCUGAGGCACGAAAGCGUGGGGAGCGAACGGG
rnacentral:misc_RNA from 1 species